rnacentral:rRNA from 1 species
CUUCGGCCCGAGUUGUAAUUUGCAGAGGAUGUUUCUGGCGCGGUGCCUUCCGAGUUCCCUGGAACGGGACGCCACAGAGGGUGAGAGCCCCGUAUGGUUGGACACCAAGCCUGUGUGAAACUCCUUCGACGAGUCGAGUAGUUUGGGAAUGCUGCUCAAAAUGGGAGGUAAAUCUCUUCUAAAGCUAAAUACCGGCCAGAGACCGAUAGCGCACAAGUAGAGUGAUCGAAAGAUGAAAAGCACCUUGAAAAGGGGGUUAAACAGUACGUGAAAUUGUUGAAAGGGAAGCGCUUGUGACCAGACUUGCGCCGGGCGGUUCAUCCGGGGUUCUCCCCGGUGCACUCCGCCCGGCUCAGGCCAGCAUCGGUUUUCGUUGGGGGAUAAGAACGGCAGGAACGUGGCCCUCCUUCGGGUGGGUGUUAUAGCCUGCCGUACGAUACCCUGACGGGGACCGAGGUUCGCGCUCCGCAAGGAUGCUGGCGUAAUGGUCAUCAGCGACCCGUCUUGAAACACGGACCAAGGAGUCGUCCAUUAGAGCGAGCGUUUGGGUGUCAAACCCGCACGCGUAAUGAAAGUGAAAUUAGGUGAGAGCUUCGGCGCAUCAUCGACCGAUCCUGAUGUUCUCGGAUGGAUUUGAGUAAGAGUUUUAACGGACGGACCCGAAAGACAGUGAACUAUGCUUGUAUAGGGUGAAGCCAGAGGAAACUCUGGUGGAGGCUCGCAGCGGUUCUGACGUGCAAAUCGAUCGUCAAAUAUGAGCAUGGGGGCGAAAGACUAAUCGAACUGUCUAGUAGCUGGUUACCGCCGAAGUUUCCCUCAGGAUAGCAGUGUUGACCUUCAGUUUUAUGAGGUAAAGCGAAUGAUUAGGGACUCGGGGGCGCUUUUUAGCCUUCAUCCAUUCUCAAACUUUAAAUAUGUAAGAAGCCCUUGUUACUUAGUUGAACGUGGGCAUUCGAAUGUAUCAACACUAGUGGGCCAUUUUUGGUAAGCAGAACUGGCGAUGCGGGAUGAACCGAACGCGGGGUUAAGGCGCCAGAGUGUACGCUCAUCAGACACCACAAAAGGCGUUAGUACAUCUUGACAGCAGGACGGUGGCCAUGGAAGUCGGAAUCCGCUAAGGACUGUGUAACAACUCACCUGCCGAAUGUACUAGCCCUGAAAAUGGAUGGCGCUCAAGCGUACCGCCCAUACCCCGCCCUCAGGGUAGAAACGAUGCC